GAUGAACGCUAGCGGCAGGCUUAAUACAUGCAAGUCGAACGGUAAGGUUUCUUCGGAGACACACGAGUGGCGCACGGGUGCGUAACGCGUAUGCAACCUACCUAUAACUGGGGAAUAGCCCCGAGAAAUCGGGAUUAAUACUCCAUAACAUCCUUUGGAUGCAUAUCUGAGGGAUUAAAGCUCCGGCGGUUAUAGAUGGGCAUGCGUGGCAUUAGCUAGUUGGUGAGGUAACGGCUCACCAAGGCGACGAUGCCUAGGGGUCCUGAGAGGGUUAACCCCCACACUGGUACUGAGACACGGACCAGACUCCUACGGGAGGCAGCAGUAAGGAAUAUUGGGCAAUGGACGCAAGUCUGACCCAGCCAUGCCGCGUGAAGGAUGACUGCCCUAUGGGUUGUAAACUUCUUUUGUACGGGAAAAAACUCUCGGUCGUGCACCGGGACUGAUGGUACCGUGCGAAUAAGCAUCGGCUAACUCCGUGCCAGCCGCCGCAGUAAAAC
rnacentral:rRNA from 1 species